rnacentral:lncRNA from 1 species
CCGACAUCUAUGCCUAAUAACAACCGUUGUGUGAGAAAAGCCUACUUUAGUUAAACGGCAUAUUCACAGCCCUAACCAACAGAAAAAAGAACGAGGACAGCCCGUAAGAAGCGCAAAAGGUUCGAGAGAAGAGAAAGACAAACCAAGGCGAUAUCCUUACUAAAAAUUCAGGAAGCUCUGGUCAGGGUCAAGGAAGAAGCAAGCCGCCAUAUAAUGAACUUGCCAGCAAAUAUUAUUCGCUGUCGAGAAAGUGCGCAAAGUGAUAAAACAUCGCAUAUCAGUUGUGGGAUAAGACGUGUAAUGCGGUAUGUUCAUACUGUAUAAUAUAUUCUGUAUAAAUGCCGUAUUAACAAAAAGCAAACGAUGAAACGAUUAUAUAUUUUGUUUUGCUUUGUUGAACUUUGGGCUAUAUAGACGCGCGAGUACACUAGUUGACGAUAUUAACUUAAUCACAGAUACAGUAUUCGCUCAAAUCACGGUUAAUAGAAGGAGGAUGGUUAGGCUAGCCGGCAAACUUCAAAGGGGGCGGCAAACUAUGUUGAGCACAAAGGAAAAAAAUGUCACGUGUCGAGAUAGGGGGACGCUUGUGUUGACAUUUGUAGGAAAUUAUAUUGAAAGUGUUGGGUUAAUACUGAUAAUAAAAGCAUUUUUGUAUCUUUUGGAGCAUUUAUAAUAACGAUGGAUAGUGAUAUCGAAAGAGGAGUGAUUUCUUCAUCGAUGCAGACAUUUGAAAACAGUAAUAAUAAAAGCAAAGAGUGUUUUCAACGAUCGGAAAUGACGGUAUCGUUUGGAAGAUGAACGAGAGAGCGAAUACGUAGAUUUAUAGACGAAUAUUUUUAUAGCAUCGAGGCCCCUGUUACUAUUAGCGGAAGAAAAACAGUUGUAUUAAAUACUGAUUUUUCUGCUGCCCAAUCGACAGUGAGAAGUCUUUUCAGUGCUACAGUAUGUGUGCGACAAAUUUGCGGCCUUAGUGCCAAAUUACAAGGCAUAUAGCCAGUAAUUCAAAACACUUUACAACACAUGGUCAUGGGGAAUCUAUUGUACGAAGUAUCUAUGUGUUUAUAUAUAAAGGUGCAUUUACUUCUUUAGUUGAUUGACAUUGUAGAAGCUAUACGUUGUGAAAAGUACAUUUCGAUCGUUGGAAACAAUGUGGGAUGCGAUAUAAAAAAGUCGGGUGAAUUCAACCGUAGCAAAGAUUAUAUUAUCGAGUAUGAAAACGAUGCAAAACGUGGUAAAGCCUUUGCAUUACUGUAAAACAGUAGUGAAAAGAAAGUGAUAUUAUAUAUUUUAUAAAAUUUGUAACUAUACAAUUCAUUUAUCUUCUGCAAUAACUCUGUUUUCAUAUUCAGAUUAAUUGAACCAUAGGUUUGAAAAUAUAACAAUGGUUGGCAAAUUUAUGACUCCCAAAACUAAUAUAUUAUUUACAAAUGCCUCUAUGGUUAGUUGGUUAGGUUUUCACAAUUACACUGCUAUCAUGAUAUAGUCAUCAUACAGGCCUUAUCAAACCAAACAAUUCAAACCUGGUAAGGGGCUGAUUACAUGGAGAGUUUUCAGCAUGGCUGAGUUUCAUCCUGGUUUCCUAGGCUGAAAUUAAGAAAUUUCAGCCCAGCCUGAGGAUAAAAUCCUAUUAAAACACAACAAAUGAUUGCAUGACAGAAAUUUCAGCUUGGGCUGAAGUUUUAGCCCGGUUGGAGCUACCCGGGCUGAAAAUUUCAACCCGGUUGGCCGGGCUGAAAAUCGCCAUGUAAUCGACACGAAAAUUCAACCCAGGUUGAAAAAACAGCAUUUAAGUCGCUUUAUUUCUGUACCUCCAUUUUGAGACUUCAUUCUUUCGGCCCGGGCUGAGAUUUAACCCCGGUUUGAAUUGAAAUUCUAACUCACCCCGGGCUGAACUUUGUCAUGUAAUCGUGAAACAAUUUCAGCUCGGUUAACUGGGUUGAAAUUCAGCCCGGGCUGAAAACUCCCCAUGUCAUCAGCCCCUAAGACAUGUUGAACCUUGAAUUGUUUUGUCAGGUAUACCUGCGUGCCCUAAUGAAUUAACCAUAAACUUGCAAUUGCUUCUCUUUCAAAAAAAUAUAAUGUAGGGUGCAUUUGCUGGACACAUUGCCAGCUCACCCACUAGUGAAUUAACAUGCGGCACUGGCAGAUUGCCAAUGACAAGUAAAAUUGGGUAUGGGAAACAAAGUAUGGGCUAAUCUGAUAAAAAAUAGAACAAAACAUACGUGAAAAUGGUUUAGAAUCUUCUUUGAAUAUUAAACUUGUACAUUUCCAGUCAAUGUAUACAAUUUGUUAUUUCCAGUGUAUUUAAAUUCAGUAUCUAUAAGUAUCUACAAGUGUUCAACCCAGAGCCAAUAG